rnacentral:rRNA from 1 species
ACGCCAGACUCCUACGGGAGGCAGCAGUGGGGGAUAUUGCACAAUGGGGGGAACCCUGAUGCAGCGACGCCGCGUGGGUGAAGGAGCGUUUCGGCGCGUAAAGCCCUAUCGGCAGGGAAGAAGGAGGACGGUACCUGACUAAGAAGCCCCGGCUAACUACGUGCCAGCAGCCGCGGUAAUACGUAGGGGGCAAGCGUUAUCCGGAUUUACUGGGUGUAAAGGGGGCGCAGACGGCAGCGCAAGCCAGGAGUGAAAGCCCGGGGCCCAACCCCGGGACUGCUCUUGGAACUGUUUCCCUUGAGUGUCGGAGAGGUAAUCGGAAUUCCUUGUGUAGCGGUGAAAUGCGUAGAUAUAAGGAAGAACACCAGUGGCGAAGGCGGAUUACUGGACGAUAACUGACGGUGAGGCGCGAAAGCGUGGGGAGCAAACAGGAUUAGAUACCCUUGUAC